rnacentral:rRNA from 1 species
AUUGAACGCUGGCGGCAUGCCUUACACAUGCAAGUCGAACGGUAACAGGUCUUCGGAUGCUGACGAGUGGCGAACGGGUGAGUAAUACAUCGGAACGUGCCCGAGAGUGGGGGAUAACGGAGCGAAAGCUUUGCUAAUACCGCACAAGAUCUACGGAUGAAAGCAGGGGACCGCAAGGCCGUGCGCCCAUGGAGAGGCCGAGGGCAGAUUAGGUAGUUGGUGGGAUAAAAGCUUACCAAGCCGACGAUCUGUAGCUGGUCUGAGAGGAUGACCAGCCACACUGGGACUGAGACACGGCCCAGACUCCUACGGGAGGCAGCAGUGGGGAAUUUUGGACAAUGGGCGCAAGCCUGAUCCAGCCAUGCCGCGUGCAGGAUGAAGGCCUUCGGGUUGUAAACUGCUUUUGUACGGAACGAAAAGCCUCGGGCUAAUAUCCUGGGGUCAUGACGGUACCGUAAGAAUAAGCACCGGCUAACUACGUGCCAGCAGCCGCAGUAAGAC